rnacentral:rRNA from 1 species
ACGCUCGCAAGAGUGAAACUCAAGGGAAUUGACGGGGACCCGCCCAAGUAGCGGAGCAUGUGGUUUAAUUGGAAGCAACGCGAAGAACCUUACCUAAGCUUGACAUCCUUUUGACCGAUGCCUAAUCGCAUCUUUCCCUUCGGGGACAGAAGUGACAGGUGGUGCAUGGUUGUCGUCAGCUCGUGUCGUGAGAUGUUGGGUUAAGUCCCGCAACGAGCGCAACCCUUGCCUUUAGUUGCCAGCAUUAAGUUGGGCACUCUAGAGGGACUGCCAGGGAUAACCUGGAGGAAGGUGGGGAUGACGUCAAAUCAUCAUGCCCCUUAUGCUUAGGGCUACACACGUGCUACAAUGGGUGGUACAGAGGGCAGCCAAGUCGUGAGGCGGAGCUAAUCCCUUAAAGCCAUUCUCAGUUCGGAUUGUAGGCUGAAACUCGCCUACAUGAAGCUGGAGUUACUAGUAAUCGCAGAUCAGAAUGCUGCGGUGAAUGCGUUCCCGGGUCUUGUACACACCGCCCGUCACACCACGGGAGUUGGGGGCGCCCGAAGCAAAAUUGCUAACCUUUUGGAAGCGUCCGUCGA